ACAGCAAGGCCUGUGCCACGGUGCCUAUAAAUUCCCUCUAAUGAUGCAGCAGCCAGGCAGGGCCCCAUCUGUGCCUGGGCACAGGUGAGACUUUUCACCAUCGUGUAAGUGCAGGCUGCCUUUCAAUUACACUCACCAGCCCAUUAGGCAAAUGACAUUUGCAUAUGAGAGGAGAACUAGAAAGUCACAAAACAGGCCCUGAAGUAGAAUAUGUUUUAUACCUACAUGCAGGCACUGCUGCUCAGCCCAGGGCUGCGCCUGAUGCUCUUUGGGUUUCUGCCGGGGCCAUGGUGUACUUCUGAGGACAGGCAUCUGCACCCCCAUCUCCCUAAAAAUACAGCCGUUUCUGUAGGGCUCUGCACUGUUUUUGGGUCCUGUCCUGCAGCGGGCUGGAGAACAGAUGAAAAUAUCACAGGCUCAAAAGCAUUUAAAUAGAUUGCACCUGGGUUUCAGUCCCGCUCUCGGGCAGGGCCGAGCACUGCGCAGCACUGAGCUCCACGACUAUUUCCAGCCCCCCAAGGAUGCACAACCAGCACACGCUGCCCGGCGGUAUGGGAUUACACCGGUGUCCGAUGUCACCGAGGGCAUUUGCGUGGAAUAAACAGUCCUGCUCAGGUGAUCCCGAAGAAUUAAUCUGCCUACAAGUACUUUUUUUUUUCUCCUGAUCAAGUGUCCCUGGUUGACAACACAGAACUUCAUGAUGCUAUCUUUAGAGAGGCUCUUCUGCACAGAAGCACCCUUU